rnacentral:rRNA from 1 species
GAGUUUGAUCAUGGCUCAGAUUGAACGCUGGCGGCAUGCUUUACACAUGCAAGUCGAACGGUAACAGGGAGCUUGCUCCGCUGACGAGUGGCGAACGGGUGAGUAAUGCGUCGGAACGUGCCGAGUAGUGGGGGAUAACGCAUCGAAAGGUGUGCUAAUACCGCAUACGAACUGAGGUUGAAAGUGGGGGACCUUCGGGCCUCACGCUAUUCGAGCGGCCGACGUCUGAUUAGCUAGUAGGUGAGGUAAAGGCUCACCUAGGCGACGAUCAGUAGCGGGUCUGAGAGGAUGAUCCGCCACACUGGGACUGAGACACGGCCCAGACUCCUACGGGAGGCAGCAGUGGGGAAUUUUGGACAAUGGGCG